rnacentral:rRNA from 1 species
UACGUAGGGUGCGAGCGUUAAUCGGAAUUACUGGGCGUAAAGCGUGCGCAGGCGGUUUUGUAAGCCAGAUGUGAAAUCCCCGGGCUUAACCUGGGAAUGGCAUUUGGGACUGCAAGGCUGGAGUUUGGCAGAGGAGACUGGAAUUCCCGGUGUAGCAGUGAAAUGCGUAGAUAUCGGAAAGAACACCAACGGCGAAAGCACUCUGCUGGGCCGACACUGACACUGAGAGACGAAAGCUAGGGGAGCGAAUGGG